rnacentral:rRNA from 1 species
ACCGUGGCGACGAUGCGUAGGGGUUCUGAGAGGAAGGUCCCCCACACUGGUACUGAGACACGGACCAGACUCCUACGGGAGGCAGCAGUGAGGAAUAUUGGUCAAUGGGAGAGAUCCUGAACCAGCCAAGCCGCGUGAGGGAAGACGGCCCUAUGGGUUGUAAACCUCUUUUGUCGGAGAACAAAACCCGGGACGUGUCCCGGACUGCGUGUAUCCGAAGAAAAAGCAUCGGCUAACUCCGUGCCAGCAGCCGCGGUAAUACGGAGGAUGCGAGCGUUAUCCGGAUUUAUUGGGUUUAAAGGGUGCGUAGGCGGUCUGUUAAGUCAGCGGUAAAAUUGCGGGGCUCAACCCCGUCGAGCCGUUGAAACUGGCAGACUUGAGUUGGCGAGAAGUACGCGGAAUGCGCGGUGUAGCGGUGAAAUGCAUAGAUAUCGCGCAGAACUCCGAUUGCGAAGGCAGCGUACCGGCGCCAGACUGACGCUGAGGCACGAAAGCGUGGGGAUCGAACAGGAUUAGAUACCCUGGUAGUCCACGCAGUAAACGAUGAAUGCUGGUUGUCCGGGUCGAAUGAGACCUGG